GAGUUUGAUCAUGGCUCAGGAUGAACGCUGGCGGCGUGCCUAAUACAUGCAAGUCGAGCGGUAACACUUCGGGUGACGAGCGGCGGACGGCUGAGUAAUGCAUAGGAACAUACCCCAAAGUGAGGGAUAAGCACCGGAAACGGUGUCUAAUACCGCAUAUGGCCCACGGGUUAAAGCUUCGGCGCUUUGGGAAUGGCCUAUGUCCGAUUAGCUAGUUGGUGAGGUAAAUGCUCACCAAGGCGACGAUCGGUAGCUGGUCUGAGAGGAUGAUCAGCCAGACUGGGACUGAGACACGGCCCAGACUCCUACGGGAGGCAGCAGUAGGGAAUUUUCCACAAUGGACGAAAGUCUGAUGGAGCAACGCCGCGUGCAGGAUGAAGGCCUUCGGGUUGUAAACUGCUUUUAUCUGUGACGAUUUUGACGGUAGCAGAUGAAUAAGGAUCGGCUAACUCCGUGCCAGCAGCCGCGGUAC
rnacentral:rRNA from 1 species